GGUUUACUAGAAAUUCCCAACUGUUCCAAAGUGGUUGUACCAGCAGGCGCGACUGCUAGUUGUGUAUGACCACGUCUGCCGGUCCAUGUUUUCAGCACCCAUUGCCUGAAGUGUUAGCAACCUCACUCCGGCACCAUGAACUUCCCAGCCCUGCCAUGGAAGCUACCUGCCAGGUCCUCCCCAUUCUCAGGUGGAGGCUUCUCUGUUGAGGGGCCUCGGAGACCCCUAGCCCUCAGUGGACCAUGCUGGCUGGGAGCUCCGCCCUGGGGCUCCUGCUCUGCUCAGGUCCACGCGGCCAGCCUUGCCCUUGCCCUUGCCAGAGGGGUCGAAGCGCUCCUUGUGGGAGCCCGUGAACUUGGUGGUGUCCGUGAGCCUUGACACGGUGGGCGACGAGAUGGCUUUCUGCAAGAGGAGCGGGAGGAAGGGGGCAGGCCCCGCCUUCCACCUCGCCCUGCUCACCGUCACCCCUGAGAUGAUGGGCGCCUUGCCCUCGAUGAGCCUGUGCACCUCGCGAACGGCCUCCUCGCUGCUCUUGUCUUUGAAUCGCUUCUUGGCGAGCUCCUCCAGCGCCUCCUGGAACUGCUCAAAGAUAUACCACAACUAACCCAAAGUGGGGUUUUUCAGUGUUUAAAACGAGAUCCAGUGGAUGAGGCUCAGCUCUGCAAAAGGCACCUGCAUUUCACCAGGGAAGCCUCUGGACGGCGCGAGAAAGGCUGCACCCAGCAGGCCAAGCAUUGUAAGGGCACUACCAGCUGCAGAAUCCACAGUGACCAAGAGUCAGGAGACAAAUGACCCAUAAAACCCCAGCAAGCCUUUCCAGAAGUCAAUGAGCAGAGGGCCUAGAAUAGCCAAAACGAUUUCAAGAAAUGAGAACAGAGUCCGAGGACUGACU
rnacentral:sRNA from 1 species